UACGGGGGGAGCAAGCGUUGUUCGGAUUUACUGGGCGUAAAGGGCGCGUAGGCGGCCUGCUAAGUCGAACGUGAAAUCCCCGGGCUCAACCCGGGAACUGCGUCCGAUACUGGUUGGCUUGAAUCCGGGAGAGGGAUGUGGAAUUCCAGGUGUAGCGGUGAAAUGCGUAGAUAUCUGGAGGAACACCGGUGGCGAAGGCGGCAUCCUGGACCGGUAUUGACGCUGAGGCGCGAAAGCCAGGGGAGCCAAACGGG
rnacentral:rRNA from 1 species